GAGAUAUAGCCGGAUCAACCUGUUUAACAGCAGGAGUCUGGAUUUUCUAUAAACCUUUGUGAACCUGUCUCGUCAAGCUCUUUGGGGCUUGGCUGAGCCAUUACAAACAUGUAUAAGUGUAAAUGAACGUAAACAAAACAUAAUAUAAAA
rnacentral:misc_RNA from 1 species